rnacentral:sRNA from 1 species
GGCUUGGGGUACGGAAGUGUCACAAUGUGUGGUGUGUGCUCCUCUUAUUUGCACAAGCAUAAGUCCAGGGUCACACGGCUUGGUUUACACUGAGUCACCAGGUCGUUGACACUUUCUGCCGGUCCCCUACGGGACCCUCACUCAGAUCAAUUCUGGACCCCACCGAGGCUGUCGCUGCUAUGUAUUCAAAUGCUAAUUCAAAUACUGAAUCCCAAGAACUGUUGGCCGCAAGAAGACUGAGUUCUCUCUCCAUGGGCUUUUGUUGUGCAAACUUUGCCGAGCACAGUUGAGAGUCUGCAACCAUUUCCUGGUGGCCAUCAAAUCCUUCCUGAAUCUGGAAAAUCUGGGCUGUUUUGAGGUGACAUUGACCCUGCACAUCAGCUUGGCUGAAGAAGCCAGUCAGAGCCAAGAGUAGACACCUGUGUUCUGCAGUCUGGCAGUUCCACAUCAGGAAGGACUCGGGGACAAAUCUGAACCGUGUUCCCAGCAGCCUGCGAGGGUGGCACUGUGGGAGUUCUGUCUCAGCUAAAUCAAGACUCAGUGAUGCUACUCUUCCGCGCCACAGAGGUAGCUGCCAGCUCUGCACGGGGGGUCAGUCAGUCAUCGCCUCCAGAGAGCACACAGACCCCCACACUACUAGGGUGAGAGAGGCAGUGGACGCCGAGACACAGAAUAGCACACAUGAAAACUAUGAAGCAAAACCGAAGCAUUGCAAUUUCCCUGAACCUUAAAAUUCCUUCAUCAGCACUAAGAAAGUUCAAGAAUCCAGCAGUUGUUUGGUCCACAAGGCUGGAUGUCUCUGUUGGUUUUUGGUAUAUAUCAGAAUCCCGAAGAAAAAGAAUGCUCAAAUAGCAGUGAAGGAAGAGACUUGCAGUGAGAGAGACUAAAAGCCUCCUCCUUCUAUGUCCUCUACAUUGGCUGCCAGACAAAAGGGGGCUGGAGAGAUGGCUCAGUGGUUAAGAGCACCCGACUA